UACGAAGGGGGCGAGCGUUGUUCGGAUUUACUGGGCGUAAAGGGCGCGUAGGCGGUCCCUCAAGUCAGGCGUGAAAGCCCCGGGCUCAACCUGGGAGGUGCGCUUGGGACUGAGGGGCUGGAGUUCGGGAGAGGAGCGUGGAAUUCCCAGUGUAGAGGUGAAAUUCGUAGAUAUUGGGAAGAACACCGGUGGCGAAGGCGGCGCUCUGGACCGAGACUGACGCUGAGGCGCGAAGGCGUGGGGAGCAAACAGG
rnacentral:rRNA from 1 species